rnacentral:rRNA from 1 species
UACGUAGGGGGGCGAGCGUUGUCCGGAAUUAUUGGGCGUAAAGAGCGUGUAGGCGGUUCGGUAAGUCUGCCGUGAAAACCUGGGGCUCAACCCCGGGCGUGCGGUGGAUACUGCCGGGCUAGAGGGUGGUAGAGGCGAGUGGAAUUCCCGGUGUAGCGGUGAAAUGCGCAGAUAUCAGGAGGAACACCGAUGGCGAAGGCAGGUCUCUGGGCAUUAACUGACGCUGAGGAGCGAAAGCUAGGGGAGCGAACGGG